rnacentral:rRNA from 1 species
CUUACACAUGCAGUCGAGGGGUACAGGGUCCUUCGGGAAUGCUGACGAACGGCGCACGGGUGAGUAACGCGUAUGCAACCUUCCUGUAUCAGGAGGAUAGGCCUUGGAAACGAGGAUUAAUACUGCGUAAAAUUAUUGUAUCGCAUGGUAUAAUAAUCAAAUCUACGGAGGAUACAGAUGGGCAUGCGUGCUAUUAGCUAGAUGGUAAGGUAACGGCUUACCAUGGCAAUGAUGGCUAGGGGUUCUGCAAGGAAGAUCCCCCACACUGGUACUGAGACACGGACCAGACUCCUACGGGAGGCAGCAGUGAGGAAUAUUGGUCAAUGGAGGCAACUCUGAACCAGCCAAGCCGCGUGAAGGAAGACUGUUCUAUGAAUUGUAAACUUCUUUUGUGACAGAGUAAAGAUAGCUACGCGUAGUUAUUUGCAAGUAUGUCAUGAAUAAGCAUCGGCUAACUCCGUGCCAGCAGCCGCGGUAAUACGGAGGAUGCAGGCGUAAUCCGGAUAUAUUAGGUUUAAAGGGUGUACAGGCUGUCUGGUAAGUCAGAGGUGAAAGUCAGUUGCUUAACGAUCGAAUUGCCUUUGAAACAGUCAGACUUGAGUAUGGAUGUGGUA